GACGAACGCUGGCGGCGUGCUUAACACAUGCAAGUCGAACGGAAAGGCCCUGCUUUUGUGGGGUGCUCGAGUGGCGAACGGGUGAGUAACACGUGAGUAACCUGCCCUUGACUUUGGGAUAACUUCAGGAAACUGGGGCUAAUACCGGAUAGGAGCUCCUGCUGCAUGGUGGGGGUUGGAAAGUUUCGGCGGGUGGGGAUGGACUCGCGGCUUAUCAGCUUGUUGGUGGGGUAGUGGCUUACCAAGGCUUUGACGGGUAGCCGGCCGGAGAGGGUGACCGGCCACAUUGGGACUGAGAUACGGCCCAGACUCCUACGGGAGGCAGCAGUGGGGAAUAUUGCACAAUGGGCGGAAGCCUGAUGAAGCAACGCCGCGUGCGGGAUGACGGCCUUCGGGUUGUAAACCGCUUUCGCCUGUGACGAAGCGUGAGUGACGGUAAUGGGUAAAGAAGCACCGGCUAACUACGUG
rnacentral:rRNA from 1 species